rnacentral:rRNA from 1 species
GAUGAACGCUAGCGACAGGCUUAACACAUGCAAGUCGAGGGGCAGCAUAAAAGUAGCUUGCUAUUUUUGAUGGCGACCGGCGCACGGGUGAGUAACGCGUAUGCAACCUACCUUAUACACAGGCAUAGCCCAUGGAAACGUGGAUUAACUCCUGAUAGCAUAUAUUAAAGGCAUCUUUAAUAUAUUAAAUAUUUAUAGGUAUAAGCUGGGCAUGCGUCCUAUUAGAUAGUUGGUAAGGUAACGGCUUACCAAGUCGUUGAUAGGUAGGGGUUCUGAGAGGAAGGUCCCCCACACUGGUACUGAGACACGGACCAGACUCCUACGGGAGGCAGCAGUGAGGAAUAUUGGUCAAUGGACGCAAGUCUGAACCAGCCAAGUCGCGUGAGGGAUGACUGCCCUAUGGGUUGUAAACCUCUUUUCUUUGGGAAGAAUAUUUACUAUGUAUAGUAAUUUGCCUGUACCGAAUGAAUAAGCAUCGGCUAACUCCGUGCCAGCAGCCGCGGUAAUACGGGGGAUGCGAGCGUUAUCCGGAUUUAUUGGGUUUAAAGGGUGCGUAGGCUGUAUAAUAAGUUAGUGGUCAAAUCUCAGCGCUCAACGUUGUCUUGCCAUUAAAACUGUUAAACUUGAGUACACUUGAGGUAGGCGGAAUAAGUUAAGUAGC